rnacentral:rRNA from 1 species
AUUGAACGCUGGCGGCAGGCUUAACGCAUGCAAGUCGAGCGGAGCGAGGGUGCUUGCACCUUAGCUUAGCGGCGGACGGGUGAGUAAUGCUUAGGAAUCUGCCUAUUAGUGGGGGACAACAUUCCGAAAGGAAUGCUAAUACCGCAUACGCCCUACGGGGGAAAGCAGGGGAUCUUCGGACCUUGCGCUAAUAGAUGAGCCUAAGUCGGAUUAGCUAGUUGGUGGGGUAAAGGCCUACCAAGGCGAAGAUCUGUAGCGGGUCUGAGAGGAUGAUCCGGUACACUGGGACUGAGACACGGCCCAGACUCCUACGGGAGGCAGCAGUGGGGAAUAUUGGACAAUGGGGGGAACCCUGAUCCAGCCAUGCCGCGUGUGUGAAGAAGGCCUUAUGGUUGUAAAGCACUUUAAGCGAGGAGGAGGCUACUGAGACUAAUACUCUUGGAUAGUGGACGUUACUCGCAGAAUAAGCACCGGCUAACUCUGUGCCAGCCGCCGCCGUAAAAC